UACGGAGGGUGCGAACGUUAAUCGGAAUUACUGGGCGUAAAGCGCACGUAGGCGGCUUUGUAAGUUAGAGGUGAAAGCCCGGGGCUCAACCCCGGAAUUGCCUUUAAGACUGCAUCGCUAGAAUUGUGGAGAGGUAAGUGGAAUUCCGAGUGUAGAGGUGAAAUUCGCAGAUAUUCGGAAGAACACCAGUGGCGAAGGCGACUUACUGGACACAUAUUGACGCUGAGGUGCGAAAGCGUGGGGAGCAAACAGG
rnacentral:rRNA from 1 species